AGAGUUUGAUCCUGGCUCAGGAUGAACGCUAGCUACAGGCUUAACACAUGCAAGUCGAGGGGAAACGAUAUUGGAAGCUUGCUUCCGAUAGGCGUCGACCGGCGCACGGGUGAGUAACGCGUAUCCAACCUGCCCACCACUUGGGGAUAACCUUGCGAAAGUAAGACUAAUACCCAAUGACGUCUCUAGAAGACAUCUGAAGGAGAUUAAAGAUUUAUCGGUGAUGGAUGGGGAUGCGUCUGAUUAGCUUGUUGGCGGGGCAACGGCCCACCAAGGCAACGAUCAGUAGGGGUUCUGAGAGGAAGGUCCCCCACAUUGGAACUGAGACACGGUCCAAACUCCUACGGGAGGCAGCAGUGAGGAAUAUUGGUCAAUGGGCGAGAGCCUGAACCAGCCAAGUAGCGUGCAGGAAGACGGCCCUAUGGGUUGUAAACUGCUUUUAUAAGGGAAUAAAGUUAGUCUCGUGAGACUUUUUGCAUGUACCUUAUGAAUAAGGACCGGCUAAUUCCGUGCCAGCAGCCGCGGUAAUACGGAAGGUCCGGGCGUUAUCCGGAUUUAUUGGGUUUAAAGGGAGCGUAGGCCGGAGAUUAAGCGUGUUGUGAAAUGUAGACGCUCAACGUCUGCACUGCAGCGCGAACUGGUUUCCUUGAGUACGCACAAAGUGGGCGGAAUUCGUGGUGUAGCGGUGAAGUGCUUAGAUAUCACGAAGAACUCCGAUUGCGAAGGCAGCUCACUGGAGCGCAACUGACGCUGAAGCUCGAAAGUGCGGGUAUCGAACAGGAUUAGAUACCCUGGUAGUCCGCACGGUAAACGAUGGAUGCCCGCUGUUGGUCUGAACAGGUCAGUGGCCAAGCGAAAGCAUUAAGCAUCCCACCUGGGGAGUACGCCGGCAACGGUGAAACUCAAAGGAAUUGACGGGGGCCCGCACAAGCGGAGGAACAUGUGGUUUAAUUCGAUGAUACGCGAGGAACCUUACCCGGGCUUGAAUUGCAGAGGAAGGAUUUGGAGACAAUGACGCCCUUCGGGGUCUCUGUGAAGGUGCUGCAUGGUUGUCGUCAGCUCGUGCCGUGAGGUGUCGGCUUAAGUGCCAUAACGAGCGCAACCCCUCUCCUUAGUUGCCAUCAGGUUAAGCUGGGCACUCUGGGGACACUGCCACCGUAAGGUGUGAGGAAGGUGGGGAUGACGUCAAAUCAGCACGGCCCUUACGUCCGGGGCUACACACGUGUUACAA
rnacentral:rRNA from 1 species